UUGCAAAUAAUAGGAUACGAUGAAAAACCGAGUGAAAGCGAUCUUACUAAAUGUUUAAGAGAGGAAGCUGCAAAAUGGGCAUGUAUUAUUGUUGCUGCUAAAUGCAGGGAAACAGCUACUUUACAACUGAUAAAAGAUCUUGAAAGUCCUGUACAAGAUAAUCGACUUACAUGGAAAGAAUGGAAAUAUUGUAAAGGUUUAAUGUUAGCAAACUACACCGUUUGGAACUAUGUACGGGAAAAAUGGACGACAACAUCUCAUAACAAAAUUUUAGAUUACUUAACUUGCUGUGAAGAUCCUUUAAUUAUUACCUCUUAUUUGAAUCAAAUGUUAAGACCAACUGAGUAUAAAUAUUUUGUCAAAGAACAAGACAAACCUAUAAAUAUGGUUCUUCUUACUGUUGCGAAGCAUGUAAGAAACUUUAUAGUGUUUGAUUACAUAUUGAAACGUUUAGAAAGCAAGCAAUUGGUUUUAAGUGGAAAUUGGUAAAUAUUUUCGCAACAAUUUAUCUGAAAGACGAGAGGUUAAUUGUUGCUAUUAAAAAUAAAAUUGACAAACGAAAAUUGGAGUACGCAAGACAAAUCAUCACAAAUUAUGGAUCUCUCAGUCAACAUGACAACAACUGAACUCUGCCAACAACAGAGUAAAAGGAGUCUGCAUUCUGUGUGCUCGAAGUUCGCAUAAAACUAUGAUUUAUUUGACCGUUAUACUAGCCACUAUUGCGUCAACACUGGAUGCCAUUUCUGGCAUUUAACACUAUUGGAAUGUUGUUACUAUUAUUCCGACUGGCAAACUUUGUAUCGCUAAUAGUGAUAUGAUAUAUUAGUUAGAACUAAUUUACUUUAUAUUAAUCAGUUAGUUAAUACUAGUUCUUUACUGUUAUCCAGUAUCGCAAAUCCAGCUGCCAGAAAAGGGCUAAUGCUAUGCCUAUUGUAAGCAAGAAAAUACGAAAAUGAAUGGCCAAACAAUUAAAUUUGUAAAAGACAAAACAUAUAGCAAUGUAUAUAGUAUAUAGCCAAAGUUAUAGCAAUGUACAGAAAAAUAGAAUAAAUAAAAAAGUAAAAAUUAUUAACAUUUUG